AGAGUUUGAUCCUGGCUCAGGACGAACGCUGGCGGCGUGCUUAACACAUGCAAGUCGAACGAUGAUCCGGUUUCGGCCGGGGAUUAGUGGCGAACGGGUGAGUAACACGUGGGUGACCUGCCCCAGACUCUGGGAUAACUCCGGGAAACCGGGGCUAAUACCGGAUAUGACCCGAGGCUGCAUGGCCUCGUGUGGAAAGU
rnacentral:rRNA from 1 species